UGGCUAUCAAUAAAAAAUAACAGUAGUUAAAUAGCCGCGGUAACUCUGACCGUGAUAAAGUAGCAUAAUCACUCGUCAUUUAAUUGGUGACUGGAAUGAAUGGUUACACGAAUCUUCGACUGUCUCGACAAUCAGUAGUAUGAAUUUAAAAUAGUAGUGAAGAUGCUACUUAUUAAUUGCAAGACGAAAAGACCCUAUCGAGCUUUACUAAAGACUUAAAUUUAUUGAAUAAAAAGAUAAAUAUAUUUUCUAGCAAAAUUUAAGUUGGUUAGUUUGGUUGGGGCGACCACCUCUAAAAUAGUAUCAGAGGUAAUCUAAUGGUUAUUAUUAAAUUAACAAAAGCCUAACUGAAAACACACAAGUUAACCAGGUACGAACGGUAGGAUAUAAUGACCCGCUGGAAACUUCCUAAAAUCCAACGUCCAUGAAAAAAGUUACCGUAGGGAUAACAGGGUAAUAUUCUUAGAGAGUUCAUAUCGAUAGGAAUGUUUGCCACCUCGA
rnacentral:rRNA from 1 species